UACGUAGGGUGCGAGCGUUAAUCGGAAUUACUGGGCGUAAAGCGUGCGCAGGCGGUCUGUUAAGACAGAUGUGAAAUCCCCGGGCUUAACCUGGGAACUGCAUUUGUGACUGGCAGGCUAGAGUAUGGGCAGAGGGGGGUAGAAUUCCACGUGAUAGCAGUGAAAUGCGUAGAGAUGUGGAGGAAUACCCGAUGGCGAAGGCAGCCCCCUGGGCCCAAUACUGACGCUCAUG
rnacentral:rRNA from 1 species